rnacentral:rRNA from 1 species
UACGUAGGGGGCGAGCGUUGUCCGGAUUUAUUGGGCGUAAAGAGCUCGUAGGCCGUUCGGUAAGUCAGAUGUGAAAACUCCAGGCUCAACUUGGAGAGGCCAUCUGAUACUGCCGUGACUUGAGUCCGGUAGGGGAGCACGGAAUUCCUGGUGUAGCGGUGAAAUGCGUUGAUAUCAGGAGGAACUCCAAUGGCGAAGGCAGGUUACUGGGCCUUAUCUGACGCUGAGGCGCGAAAGCGUGGGUAGCAAACAGGAUUAGAUACCCGAGUAG